rnacentral:lncRNA from 1 species
GUGCCUCUUGAAGAAUCUUGGUUUGUUCCUGUAGAGAUUUUAGCGAGAUUAAUACCUCCUCUAUAUAUUGACCCGAACACUAUCAAACUGAGAAUAAGGCGAUAUAAGAGGAGGCGUGGAGUCAGAGAAUCAUUUUCAUCAAGAAAACACAAGUGCUCUGUAAGUAAGAACGUUGUCCAUAAAAAAACUACAUGCCCCGGUC